GACGAACGCUGGCGGCGUGCUUAACACAUGCAAGUCGAACGGAAAGGCCCUGCUUUUGUGGGGUGCUCGAGUGGCGAACGGGUGAGUAACACGUGAGUAACCUGCCCUUGACUUUGGGAUAACUUCAGGAAACUGGGGCUAAUACCGGAUAGGAGCUCCUGCUGCAUGGUGGGGGUUGGAAAGUUUCGGCGGUUGGGGAUGGACUCGCGGCUUAUCAGCUUGUUGGUGGGGUAGUGGCUUACCAAGGCUUUGACGGGUAGCCGGCCUGAGAGGGUGACCGGCCACAUUGGGACUGAGAUACGGCCCAGACUCCUACGGGAGGCAGCAGUGGGGAAUAUUGCACAAUGGGCGGAAGCCUGAUGCAGCAACGCCGCGUGCGGGAUGACGGCCUUCGGGUUGUAAACCGCUUUCGCCUGUGACGAAGCGUGAGUGACGGUAAUGGGUGAAGAAGCACCGGCUAACUACGUGCCAGCAGCCGCGGUGAUACGUAGGGUGCGAGCGUUGUCCGGAUUUAUUGGGCGUAAAGGGCUCGUAGGUGGUUGAUCGCGUCGGAAGUGUAAUCUUGGGGCUUAACCCUGAGCGUGCUUUCGAUACGGGUUGACUUGAGGAAGGUAGGGGAGAAUGGAAUUCCUGGUGGAGCGGUGGAAUGCGCAGAUAUCAGGAGGAACACCAGUGGCGAAGGCGGUUCUCUGGGCCUUUCCUGACGCUGAGGAGCGAAAGCGUGGGGAGCGAACAGGCUUAGAUACCCUGGUAGUCCACGCUGUAAACGGUGGGUACUAGGUGUGGGGUCCAUUCCACGGGUUCCGUGCCGUAGCUAACGCUUUAAGUACCCCGCCUGGGGAGUACGGCCGCAAGGCUAAAACUCAAAGGAAUUGACGGGGCCCCGCACAAGCGGCGGAGCAUGCGGAUUAAUUCGAUGCAACGCGUAGAACCUUACCUGGGUUUGACAUGGAUCGGGAGCGCUCAGAGAUGGGUGUGCCUCUUUUGGGGUCGGUUCACAGGUGGUGCAUGGCUGUCGUCAGCUCGUGUCGUGAGAUGUUGGGUUAAGUCCCGCAACGAGCGCAACCCUUGUUCACUGUUGCCAGCACGUUAUGGUGGGGACUCAGUGGAGACCGCCGGGGUCAACUCGGAGGAAGGUGGGGAUGACGUCAAGUCAUCAUGCCCCUUAUGUCCAGGGCUUCACGCAUGCUACAAUGGCUGGUACAGAGAGUGGCGAGCCUGUGAGGGUGAGCGAAUCUCGGAAAGCCGGUCUCAGUUCGGAUUGGGGUCUGCAACUCGACCUCAUGAAGUCGGAGUCGCUAGUAAUCGCAGAUCAGCAACGCUGCGGUGAAUACGUUCCCGGG
rnacentral:rRNA from 1 species